UGUGGUGCUGCUGGUGCAUCCGUGUAAUAGAUUUUCGUCUGCCACGUACGCAUCUCGAUCCUUCAUCUACCUCGCCAGUCGCCGUCGCCGUCACCGAUAGAACAGAUGCUGCAUGCGCAUUGGGGCAUUGUUGCCACCAUGGUAUUGGUGUUUCUGCUUCAAGCAACCGUUGACGCCGGCCGCCUCUUCCAGGACGGCGGCGCCAUUAUUACCCUUCCAAGCGACAACAAAGCAGGUUGUGAAGACGGGUACAAAGCUGUGUGCGUUCAAGCAGCAAUGGUAGCGGGGAAGAACCUGAUCAGCUGCCCGCGAAAUCAAUGCAUUGUCUUUCCUGGUAUUUGUUUGCCAUGCUAAGACAACCAAGUCGCCGUGUGCCAGGCUGCCAGCUGCUAGUAUAUAUGUACGCUACGUACUGUUGUUGUAUCGUUGUAAUAAACUAAAGCUAGCUAGCUACUACUACGGUUGGUUAGCUAGCUGCUGCUGCUACUACAGCUGGGACAGUGGCCCGUCCGCGGUGUCAGGUGUCAUCUCUAUUUGAAGCGCUAGCUCCUCCAUCAGCAUAUGUAUGUGUUUUAGGGUAGUUGGGUGCCUGUAAGUGUGCAGAACAUCGUCUCCACCGCCUCCGGCCUCUGCCGCGCGCUGAGGUGGCUACCCUCUAUGUCGUUCAGUUAUUUAUAUGUCGUUUUUCUUGUUGUUUUAUGUACCACUGCAAUCGUUGUUGUAACUUAAUUUGUUUCUUUCAGUGAAUCAAAUAAUGCGCUUCACUUA